GCAAAGCUUCUGACCUUCGACUUGAGUGCAGCACAAACUCGCCAAGGCCUCGCUAGAGCCGAGGAAACAGAAAGCUGAAGGCAGGGGAGGAAAGAGCUCAACGCAGCACAAAGAAGUCUAACAAUCACAGCAACUUGACAACAACUCAUGUCAGACCGCACAUGAAAAGCAGGAGCUGCAGGGAUGGUGGGUUGCAGAGUGGCUUGCAGAGGUACAGCAUGGCAUGCAACAGCAGCUUAACCCUCACAUACUUUUCAGGCUAAACUCGACCUGCGUUAACAUUUGGCAGUUUAAAUGUCGGGUUUUUUGCCUGUAAUUUGAUUCCUAAAGUGACAUAAAAGACAAGAGUAUGAAACUCUUACUUUUUUUUUUUUUUUAAAUAAAAAAAAACAAAAAAAACAAUAUAUAUUGUUUUGGGGAAUCUUGGAACUGAAACUAUAUCUCAAGCAUUAACAUUUUAAGUGAAUAUGUGGUGACUGUGUUCAAGCGACACCUUGAAACCGUCAUGAGAACAUGUAUUUGUCAAGGCACUCAUAAGUCAUGUGAUGGCCAAAAC
ensembl:lncRNA